rnacentral:rRNA from 1 species
AUCUGGUAGGCUAAAUACUCCUGAGAGACCGAUAGUGAACUAGUACCGUGAGGGAAAGGUGAAAAGAACCCUGAAUAAGGGAGUGAAAUAGAUCCUGAAACCAUACGCUUACAAGCGGUCGGAGCCCUUUUUGGGUGACGGCGUGCCUUUUGCAUAAUGAGCCUACGAGUUACCGUUGCUAGCAUGGCUAAUCCAUUCAGUGGAGAAACCGUAGCGAAAGCGAGUCUGAAUAGGGCGAUUAAGUUAGCAGUGGUAGACGCGAAACCGUGUGAUCUACCCAUGAGCAGGUUGAAGCUUUGUUAACCCAAAGUGGAGGACCGAACCCGUUGACGUUGAAAAGUCUUGGGAUGACUUGUGGGUAGGGGUGAAAGGCCAAUCAAACUCGGAAAUAGCUCGUACUCCCCGAAAUGCAUUUAGGUGCAGCGUUGUAAUAGUUAUAUAGAGGUAGAGCUACUGAUUGGAUGCGGGGGCUUCACCGCCUACCAAUUCCUGAUAAACUCCGAAUGCUAUAUAAUGUUUUACAGCAGUGAGGGCAUGGGUGCUAAGGUCCAUGUCCGAAAGGGAAAGAACCCGGACCAUCAGCUAAGGUCCCAAAGUGUAUACUAAGUUGAAUAAACGCGGUUUGACUGCAUAGACAGCUAGGAUGUUGGCUUGGAAGCAGCCAUUCAUUUAAAGAGUGCGUAACAGCUCACUAGUCGAGCGGUCGAGCAUGGAUAAUAAUCGGGCAUAAGUAUACCACCGAAGCUGUGGCUUUGUAUUUAUACAAGGGGUAGGGGAGCAUUCUAUAUGUGCUGAAGGUGAACUGUGAGGUUUUCUGGAGCGUAUAGAAAAGAAAAUGUAGGCAUAAGUAACGAUAAUGCGGGCGAGAAACCCGCACACCGAAAGACUAAGGUUUCCUCAGCUAUGCUAAUCAGCUGAGGGUUAGUCGGGACCUAACACAAACCCGAAAGGGGUAGUGGAUGGACAACCAGUUAAUAUUCUGGUACCUGCCGGCACUAAACGUGACGGAGUGGAAAAGUUAUUGCGUACUGACGGAAUAGUACGUUGAAAUAAUUGAAAAAUUAUGAUAGUACACCAAAACUUCGGUUGAGGUGAUAAUAUAGCAAAUCCACUUCCAAGAAAAGCAAGCCAGGCAGCCCGUACCGUAAACCGACACAGGUAGUUGGGAUGAGAAUUCUAAGGUGCUCGAGAGAUUCAUGGCUAAGGAACUAGGCAAAAUGGGCCCGUAACUUCGGGAGAAGGGUCGCCCACAGAAAUGUGGGCCGCAGUGAAAAGGUCCAGGCGACUGUUUAUCAAAAACACAGGACUCUGCUAAAUCGAAAGAUGACGUAUAGGGUCUGACACCUGCCCGGUGCCGGAAGGUUAAGUGGAGGGUUUAGCUUCGGCAAAGAUCUGAAAUGAAGCCCCGGUAAACGGCGGCCGUAACUAUAACGGUCCUAAGGUAGCGAAAUUCCUUGUCGGGUAAGUUCCGACCUGCACGAAUGGUGCAACGAUCUGGACACUGUCUCAGCCAUGAGCUCGGUGAAAUUGUAGUAUCGGUGAAGAUGCCGAUUACCCGCUACGGGACGAAAAGACCCCGUGCACCUUUACUAUAGCUUCGUAUUGACCUUGGAUAAGUAAUGUGUAGGAUAGGUGGGAGACUUUGAAGUGGCGUCGCCAGGCGUUGUGGAGUCGUUGUUGAAAUACCACCCUUUGCUUAUCUAGGGCCUAAUCCUUUAUUUUAAGGAAACAGUGCGUGGUGGGUAGUUUGACUGGGGUGGUCGCCUCCAAAAGAGUAACGGAGGCUUCUAAAGGUACCCUCAGCACGCUUGGUAACCGUGCGUAGAGUGCAAUGGCAUAAGGGUGCUUGACUGAGAGACUUACAAGUCGAUCAGGUUGGAAACCAAGAGCA